CAAUAGCUCAACUGGAUAGAGUAUCUGACUUCGAAUCAGAGGGUUGAGGGUUCGAUUCCUUCUUGGC
rnacentral:tRNA from 1 species